UACGGGGGGGGCAAGCGUUGUUCGGAUUUACUGGGCAUAAAGCGCGCGUAGGCGGCCCUGUAAGUCCGUUGUGAAAGUCGAAGGCUCAACCUUCGAAAGCCGAUGGAUACUGCGGGGCUAGAGUCCGGAAGAGGCGAGUGGAAUUCCUGGUGUAGCGGUGGAAUGCGCAGAUAUCAGGAGGAACACCAAUAGCGAAGGCAGCUCGCUGGGACGGUACUGACGCUAAGGCGCGAAAGCGUGGGGAGCGAACAGG
rnacentral:rRNA from 1 species